UACGUAGGGUGCGAGCGUUAACCGGAAUUACUGGGCGUAAAGCGUGCGUAGGCGGCUUUGCAAGACAGAUGUGAAAUCCCCGGGCUUAACCUGGGAACUGCAUUUGUGACUGCAUGGCUGGAGUGCGGCAGAGGGGGAUGGAAUUCCGCGUGUAGCAGUGAAAUGCGUAGAUAUGCGGAGGAACACCGAUGGCGAAGGCAAUCCCCUGGGCCUGCACUGACGCUCAUGCACGAAAGCGUGGGGAGCAAACAGG
rnacentral:rRNA from 1 species